rnacentral:tRNA from 1 species
GCGGAUUUAGCUCAUCCGGUAGAGCGCCACCUUGCCAAGGUGGAGGCGGCGAGUUCGAGUCUCGUAGUCCGCUCCA